rnacentral:rRNA from 1 species
UUCCUACGGGAGGCAGCAGUGGGGAAUCUUGCACAAUGGGCGUAAGCCUGAUGCAGCCAUGCCGCGUGGAGGACGAAGGCCUUCGGGUUGUAAACUCCUUUUGUGGGAGACGAUGAUGGUGGGCCGGGAAUGGGACGCCGAUGAUGGUUCCGUGGGAACAGGCGCCGGAUAACUUCGUGCCAUCAGGCGCGUCAAAAUGAAUGGCGGUAGCGUUCUCCGGAAUUACUGGCCGUAAAGGGGGUGAAGGCCGUGGGCCAAAUCAACGAAGAAAGCCCUUGACUGAUGUGAUUGAUGCCGGUCGAAACUGAUUGGCUUCCGGAACGAGAAGUAAAGUGGAACUCUCGGGGUAACAAUGAAGGGGGUAAAGACCGAUCGGUACCCCGAUGGUGAAGACAGCCUUCUGAACUUUUCCUGACGCUGAAGAGCUAAUACCCUGGUAGCGAACGCGAUUAAAUAUCCCCGCAAUCCUGGCUUCAACCGAUGUGUUCUUGGUGGCGGCU